rnacentral:lncRNA from 1 species
GUACCCACGAAUUGUCCUUUCAAUCAUAUGCAUAUACUACUGUUUCCUUUUUUAUGCCAAUAUUUUCAUGGGCAAAUUAAUUCAACAUCUCUAUCCGAACCUCUGUUUUGAUUCCAUUUCAUCGAUGAUAUUGACAUGAAACGGAUUGAAUCCAAAUAAAAAAUGGAUGAUUUUUUUCAGACAUGCAAACAACGCCCACCAGUUAAUUAAACUUACAAAUUAAAUGUCCGACUCUUAUAUAUCUGUCUUAGACACAACUAUAUCUAUAAAGAACGGUGCCACAACAACAGACCUCUACUGUAAAUAUACAUAUAAUCAUAAGUACCUUUCUCCCCAAAGCUUUCCCCUAAACACUGUACAAAAAGUAUCCCGUACAGUCAAACUCUCAGCUCUCAGGCCGACUUCACGUGAAACUCUAGACUUACCAGACCUACUCUUUUACAGAAAAACAAAAACCUUUUCAUUAACGCCAAUAUCGAAACUAGUUCAACUAAAGGUGAUUGUUAUCCUGGACGGCUUAACAGUUCAGAGGCAUUCAGUGGUAAAAAUGUAUGAUAUACUUUCAGAAUGCACAUCAUCUGUUACUGCAAUAACCAUGAUCUUGUAAGCUCAAGGCCAAACGUAUAGAAAACUAAUAUAAUUAUGACUAAAACAAAACAAAC